rnacentral:sRNA from 1 species
UGUUUAAUGUUAUUGUGUUCACA